rnacentral:rRNA from 1 species
GAUUCUGGCUCAGGAUGAACGCUGGCGGCAUGCCUAAUACAUGCAAGUCGAACGGAGUGAAGCCUUCGGGUUUCAUUCAGUGGCGAACGGGUGAGUAAUACGCAGGGAACCUGGCCAUGGCAGGGGGAUACACUCUGGAAACGGAGCAUAAGACCCCAUAGGCAGUAAGGCGGCAUCGCCUUACUGUUAAAGAAAGCUGAAAGGCUUUGGCGAUGGAUGGACCUGCGGUGCAUUAGCUUGUUGGUGAGGCAACGGCUUACCAAGGCGAUGAUGCAUAGCCGGCCUGAGAGGGCGGACGGCCACACUGGGACUGAGACACGGCCCAGACUCCUGCGGGAGGCAGCAGUAGGGAAUUUUCGUCAAUGGGCGCAAGCCUGAACGAGCAAUGCCGCGUGAGUGAGGAAGGUCUUUGGACUGUAAAGCUCUGUUGCCGGGGAAAAAGGGGAAAUGCAGGAAAUGGCAUUUCAUGGAUGGUACCCGGCCAGAAAGCCACGGCUAACUACGUGCCAGCAGCCGCGGUAAUACGUAGGUGGCGAGCGUUAUCCGGAAUGAUUGGGCGUAAAGGGUGCGCAGGCGGUCUGUUAAGUCUGAAGGCAAAGGGAUGAGCUCAACUCAUUUAUGAUUCAGAAACUGGCAGACUUGAGGACAGGAGAGGGCGGUGGAACUCCAUGUGUAGCGGUAAAAUGCGCAGAGAUAUGGAAGAACACCAGUGGCGAAGGCGGCCGCCUGGCCUGUGACUGACGCUGAGGCACGAAAGCGUGGGGAGCAAAUAGGAUUAGAUACCCUAGUAGUCCACGCCGUAAACGAUGAGGAGCAGGUGUUGGGAGUGAAAUCUCAGUGCCGAAGCCAACGCAGUGACUCCUCCGCCUGGGGAGUAUGCACGCAAGCGUGAAACUCAAAGGAAUUGACGGGGGCCCGCACAAGCGGUGGAGUAUGUGGUUUAAUUCGAAGCAACGCGAAGAACCUUACCAGGUUUUGACAUCGGAUGCGAAGGCGCAGAGAUGCGCUGGAGGCUAUCAUCCAGACAGGUGGUGCAUGGUUGUCGUCAGCUCGUGUCGUGAGAUGUUCAGUUAAGUCUGGCAACGAGCGCAACCCCCGUGGUAUGUUACUAACGCAUUUGGGCGAGGACUCAUAUCAGACUGCCGGUGACAAACCGGAGGAAGGCGGGGAUGACGUCAAAUCAUCAUGCCCCUUAUGACCUGGGCUACACACGUACUACAAUGGCGUCUACAGAGGGAAGCGACCCUGAGAAGGGAAGCGAAACCGGAAAAGGGCGUCCCAGUUCGGAUUGAAGUCUGCAACCCGACUUCAUGAAGAUGGAAUCGCUAGUAAUCGCGGAUCAGCAUGCCGCGGUGAAUACGUUCCCGGGCCUUGUACACACCGCCCGUCAAACCAUGGAAGCCGGCAACGCCCGAAGCCGGUGGCAUAACCUUUUAGGAGUGAGCCGUCGAAGGCGGGGCCGAUGACUGGGGUUAAGUCGUAACAAGGUACCC